ACAUACCGUUUGUCCGCAGCUUCAGGAGGUCCUUGUCUGCUCCUGUGGUGAGUGGCUGAGAGUGGAGUCCCCUCCAAGAAAAAUACUCGGGGUGCACCUAGGGGCGUCCGCUCCGCAGUCGAUCCCGCAGCCGAGCAGAUGUUAAGUGUGGCCA